rnacentral:rRNA from 1 species
GACAGAGGUGCCAAGCGUUAGGCGGAAUCACUGGGCUUAAAGCGUGUGUAGGCGGAUCGUUAAGUACCUUGUGAAAUCCCACGGCUCAACCGUGGAACUGCUGGGUAUACUGGCGAUCUUGAGCCACCUAGGGGCGAGCGGAACAAGCGGUGGAGCGGUGAAAUGCGUAGAGAUCGACAAGAACACCGGUGGCGAAGGCGGGUCUCUGGACAGUUCCUGACGCUGAGGGACGAAAGCUAGGGGAGCAAACGGG